GAUGAACGCUGGCGGCGUGCCUAAUACAUGCAAGUCGAGCGAGCGGACGAGAAGCUUGCUUCUCUGAUGUUAGCGGCGGACGGGUGAGUAACACGUGGAUAACCUACCUAUAAGACUGGGAUAACUUCGGGAAACCGGAGCUAAUACCGGAUAAUAUUUUGAACCGCAUGGUUCAAAAGUGAAAGACGGUCUUGCUGUCACUUAUAGAUGGAUCCGCGCUGCAUUAGCUAGUUGGUAAGGUAACGGCUUACCAAGGCAACGAUGCAUAGCCGACCUGAGAGGGUGAUCGGCCACACUGGAACUGAGACACGGUCCAGACUCCUACGGGAGGCAGCAGUAGGGAGUCUUCCGCAAUGGGCGAAAGCCUGACGGAGCAACGCCGCGUGAGUGAUGAAGGUCUUCGGAUCGUAAAACUCUGUUAUUAGGGAAGAACAUAUGUGUAAGUAACUGUGCACAUCUUGACGGUACCUAAUCAGAAAGCCACGGCUAACUACGUGCCAGCAGCCGCGGUAAUACGUAGGUGGCAAGCGUUAUCCGGAAUUAUUGGGCGUAAAGCGCGCGUAGGCGGUUUUUUAAGUCUGAUGUGAAAGCCCGCGGCUCAACCGUGGAGGGUCAUUGGAAACUGGAAAACUUGAGUGCAGAAGAGGAAAGUGGAAUUCCAUGUGUAGCGGUGAAAUGCGCAGAGAUAUGGAGGAACACCAGUGGCGAAGGCGACUUUCUGGUCUGUAACUGACGCUGAUGUGCGAAAGCGUGGGGAUCAAACAGGAUUAGAUACCCUGGUAGUCCACGCCGUAAACGAUGAGUGCUAAGUGUUAGGGGGUUUCCGCCCCUUAGUGCUGCAGCUAACGCAUUAAGCACUCCGCCUGGGGAGUACGACCGCAAGGUUGAAACUCAAAGGAAUUGACGGGGACCCGCACAAGCGGUGGAGCAUGUGGUUUAAUUCGAAGCAACGCGAAGAACCUUACCAAAUCUUGACAUCCUUUGACAACUCUAGAGAUAGAGCCUUCCCCUUCGGGGGACAAAGUGACAGGUGGCGCAUGGUUGUCGUCAGCUCGUGUCGUGAGAUGUUGGGUUAAGUCCCGCAACGAGCGCAACCCUUAAGCUUAGUUGCCAUCAUUAAGUUGGGCACUCUAAGUUGACUGCCGGUGACAAACCGGAGGAAGGUGGGGAUGACGUCAAAUCAUCAUGCCCCUUAUGAUUUGGGCUACACACGUGCUACAAUGGACAAUACAAAGGGCAGCGAAACCGCGAGGUCAAGCAAAUCCCAUAAAGUUGUUCUCAGUUCGGAUUGUAGUCUGCAACUCGACUACAUGAAGCUGGAAUCGCUAGUAAUCGUAGAUCAGCAUGCUACGGUGAAUACGUUCCCGGGUCU
rnacentral:rRNA from 1 species